rnacentral:misc_RNA from 1 species
GUGAAUCAUCGAAUUUUUGAACGCAAAUUGCACUCUCUUCUGAGAGGAUGCGUGUUUGAGUGUGAGCCUAAAAAAAAUCGUCAUAAUCGCUGUUUCGCGGUGACAUUCGUGGGACAGUGGGUUAGCUCUGACCUUUGUGCUUUAUGCGGCUUAAAAUUUUCUUUACGAUUCUACGAACGCUUCUGAGAUUUACUUCUUACACGUUUAAGGUAAUCGAUCUUUAUUAGACU